rnacentral:lncRNA from 1 species
AGCAUGCGCAGUAUGUUUACUGAGGUUGUACGCAUGCUCACUUGAGGCGUUCUUCCCUUACCAGCGCAGUGCUACCAGAGGAAGCUAAACCAGUUAAACUACGCCAUUUUGCCUCUUAGUGGGCAUGCUUGAGUCCACUCACCCAACUCCUGAUAUCUUAUUCUCUGUGACUUUGGUGGGAUCUGUCUCCCCACUCUUUGCCUGUCCUGCUCUGACCAUCCCAUCUGACCCAGGUAUGAACACAGAGUCCAUCCACGCAGUCCUCCCCAAGAGGAACUUGGAGGAAGUAGGGGCCAUGAGAAUGCCAUUGAUCUCUGGAAAUAGCAGCUGAAGAAAAUAAGAGUAAAGGAGUAUGAUGUCUGCAACUUAUAGUUCAUUAUAAAACUAGUAAGUAUAUAUGCUUACUACACACACAUAUGUAAAUUAGAUAUCGUGCAAAUGUGGCAAAAUUUUAACAUUGGUAAAUCUGGGUAAAGGAUACAUGAUAGUUCUUGUACUAUUCUUUUUUUUUUUUUUUUCGAGACG